rnacentral:lncRNA from 1 species
UAGGGGCUCAUCAAAAGAAGGGUGCCGAUUUAGCCACACACACACACACACACACACACACACACACACACACACACACACACACACACACACACACACACACACACACACACACACACACACACACACACACACACACACACACACACACACACACACACACACACACACACACUGCAUCUUGUUGAACACUGUAGUACCUCAGUACAAGGUUUGGUAAGCCUCUUUUUUUCUUUCUCUUAGCAACAAUAAUCAUCGUUAUCACGUUGGUACAAAACAAUUAAAAUGUAGCAAAAUAUCAGACAGACGACAUCUCAAAUGGUACCCUAGUCCAUAAACAGUCACCUACUUUUGACCAGAGCCCUUGCCAUUUGGGAUGCGACCCACCAUUUGUGAAGUCCAUCAGUGACAACAGUCAUAAUGUGAAUAUACUGUGUUUCUGUAGCUCAUCGACUAUGCUAGCUGGAAGACUCAGGGGUGCACCCCCCCCAUAGGCCCUGGUGAAAAGUAGUGCACUACAUAGGGAAUAGGGUGCUAAAGUAGUGCACUACAUAGGGAAUAGAGUGCUAAAGUAGUGCACUACAUAGGGAAUAGAGUGCUAAAGUAGUGCACUACAUAGGGAUCAGAGUGCUAAAGUAGUGCACUACAUAGGGAAAAGGGUGCUAAAGUAGUGCACUACAUAGGGAAAAGGGUGCUAAAGUAGUGCACUACAUAGGGAAUAGGGUGCUAAAGUAGUGCACUACAUAGGGAAUAGGGUGCCGUUUGGGACACACACUCACCGGCCGUGGUUGUCGUCAUCCGAUCAAGAUCAAGAUUUGUCGCGUUUACACAUGGUAACACCAUGCCUCUUAUCUGCCCACUGCAUCCGCAUUGUGAUCGGAUUCCCUGGUCCCUCCCUGUAUGCAAAUGAAUCCAACCUGCCUUGGCCCUCCCUUAUGACACAAGCUCUAUAAAUGAACAGAAAACAGCACACUUUUAUAUUUGGAUCCCCCCCAGUACUGCUGCUCAUUCCGUUCACCAGCUCCGGAGGUCUACGUCACCGGCCUUCUAGGCGUCACUGAACUGGAUCGUCACCCACUCCUGGUUCCCAUUCCCCCUGAUUAGUAAUUGUAUAUAUGUGCCCUCUGUUCACCAUUGUCUUGGUCGGUAAGUGUUCCCAUGUCCGUUUGUCUUGUGAGUACCUGUGCUUUGUUAUUUCGGCUUUCGUGCUGCGUGUAUUGUGAACUCGUUAUUAUGGGUCAUGUCCCGUGUAUUGUUGUGCAUUUGUUAUUACGGGUCACGUCCCGUGUAUUGUUGUGCAUUUGUUAUUACGGGUCACAUUCCGUGUAUUGUUGUGCAUUUGAUAUUACGGGUCACGUCCCGUGUAUUGUUGUGCAUUUUGUUAUUACGGGUCACGUCCUGUGUAUUGUUGUGCUUUUGUUAUUACGGGUCACGUCCCGUGUAUUGUCGUGCAUUUGUUAUUAUGGGUCACGUCCUGUGUAUUGUUGUGCUUUUGUUAUUACGGGUCACAUUCCGUGUAUUGUUGUGCAUUUGAUAUUACGGGUCACGUCCCGUGUAUUGUUGUGCAUUUGUUAUUACGGGUCACAUUCCGUGUAUUGUUGUGCAUUUGAUAUUACGGGUCACGUCCCGUGUAUUGUUGUGCAUUUGAUAUUACGGGUCACGUCCCGUGUAUUGUUGUGCAUUUGUUAUUACGGGUCACGUCCUGUGUAUUGUUGUGCUUUUGUUAUUACGGGUCACGUCCCGUGUAUUGUCGUGCAUUUGUUAUUAUGGGUCACAUCCCGUGUAUUGUCGUAAAUUUGUUAUUACGGGUCACGUCCAGUGUAUUGUUGUGCAUUUGUUGUUAAGGGUCAAGUCCCGUGUAUUGUUGUGCAUUUGUCAUUACGGGUCACGUCCCGUGUAUUGUUGUGCAUUUGUUAUUACGGGUCACGUCCCGUGUAUUGUUGUGCAUUUGUUGUUAAGGGUCAAGUCCCGUGUAUUGUUGUGCAUUUGUCAUUACGGGUCACGUCCCGUGUAUUGUUGUGCAUUUGUUAUUACGGGUCAUGCCCCGUGUAUUGUUGUGCAUUUGUUAUUACGGGUCACGUCCCGUGUAUUGUUGUGCAUUUGUCAUUACGGGUCACGUCCCAUGUAUUGUUGUGCACUUGUUAUUAUGGGUCACAUCCCGUGUCGUGUAUUGCGGGUCUCGUCCAGUCUAUUUAUUAGAGGUUUCACCUCGCUCUUUUGUUUGGGUUACAUCCAUGUGUUAUUGUAUACGUGUUUGUUUUGGGCUUCGUCCUGUGCCUUUUCAUGGCAUGUUGUAUAUUUUGGGUGGAGUAUUCAACUCCCACUAUUACAAAUUCCUGCGCCCGUCUCCAAUCAUUUAUACAACAAUAGUCAAUAGUUUUAUACUCUCCUCAUAACAGCCUGUAUAGUUAAUAGUUUUACACUCUCCUCAUUACAGCCCGUACAGUUAAUAGUUUUACACUCUCCUCAUUACAGCCCGUACAGUCAAUAGUUUUACACUCUCCUCAUUACAGCCCGUACAGUCAAUAGUUUUACACUCUCCUCAUUACAGCCCGUAUAGUCAAUAGUUUUACACUCUCCUCAUUACAGCCCGUAUAGUCAAUAGUUUUACACUCUCCUCAUUACAGCCCGUAUAGUCAAUAGUUUUACACUCUCCUCAUUACAGCCCGUAUAGUCAAUAGUUUUACACUCUCCUCAUUACAGCCCGUACAGUCAAUAGUUUUACACUCUCCUCAUUACAGCCUGUAUAGUCAAUAGUUUUACACUCUCCUCAUAACAGCCUGUAUUUGUUAUCCAACCAUUAGAGCCAGGGCGUAAUACGCUACUGUUCCGAUAUCCUCCACUUGCCGUACAAAUCAAUAGCAUUAUAUGGGCUCCCGAGUGGCACAGCUGUCUAAGGCACUGCGUCUCAGUGCAAGAGGUGUCACUACAGCCCCUGGUUCGAAUCCAGGCUGUAUCACAUCCGGCUGUGAUUGGGAGUCCCAUAGUGCGGCGCACAAUUGGGACAGCGUCGUCCGGGUUUGGACAGGGUAGGCCGUCAUUGUAGAUAAGAAUUUGAUCUUAACCGACUUGCCUUGAUAAAUAAAAUAUUCUCAUAUUUUAAAAACGGUUUUGUAGACGUAGGAGGUUGCGUCCAGGCAACUUAUAGCAAGACGCGUAAUCAAAUUAUUAAAAUGGAUAAAAGCAUGUGAAGUCAACGGCUUUAUAAAGGAAUAACGUGUUAAUAUAAAAGUAGCCUAAAG